UGCAAGUCGAGCGAACAACGAGGAGCUUGCUCCUCUGACGUUAGCGGCGGACGGGUGAGUAACACGUGGAUAACUAAGACUGGGAUAACUUCGGGAAACCGGAGCUAAUACCGGAUAAUAUAUUGAACCGCAUGGUUCAAUAGUGAAAGACGGUUUUGCUGUCACUUAUAGAUGGAUCCGCGCCGCAUUAGCUAGUUGGUAAGGUAACGGCUUACCAAGGCAACGAUGCGUAGCACCUGGGGUGAUCGGCCACACUGGAACUGAGACACGGUCCAGACUCCUACGGGCAGCAGUAGGGAAUCUUCNNCAAUGGGCGAAAGGGAGCAACGCCGCGUGAGUGAUGAAGGUCUUCGGAUCGUAAAACUCUGUUAUUAGGGAAGAACAAAUGUG
rnacentral:rRNA from 1 species